rnacentral:tRNA from 1 species
GCCUUCGUGUUGUAACGGUAGCACACUCGACGCGUAUUCGAGUGGCCCAGGUUCGAGUCUCGGUGAGGGCA